rnacentral:lncRNA from 1 species
AAAAAACCCUCAUCUCCCAAAGCUGAAAUGGCGCCCCCCCAACCCAAUCUCCACCGCGCCUCAACCCACCCAAAACGCGCCAAAUGCAGGCGGGUUCACUCACAAACGGGCCCCAUCUCUCCACGUCACUCUAAUCCUAACGGAUUUCUGACAACAAGAAGAUUCCUUCCAGAUUUUCACGUGUUCUUUAGACUCUUGAGCCAUUUGUUAGAUGAAUGAGAGUCGUAGGUAAAUGGAAAUCAAUCCAUGCCCUCCAUUUAUCUCUAAAAUCGUUCACAAAGAGAUUGAAGGGAUUUUCGGAUUUUUGCGAGAUGGUUCGAGAACUUUGGGGGUUUAUAUAAGGUAAGGAUUUUCUUGUGUGAAGGGAUUUAUGGAGAGACGGAGUUUCAGGGGAUUUUUCGGAAAAAAAUCUUGAGAGGAAAGCUAGGGUUCGAAAACCAGGGAUUUUCUUCAUUAGCUUAAAAUUCCGAUUCUAAUUCUUUUAAGUUGCAAAAAAAAAUCUGUUUCUUCAUUUUGAUUUCGAUUCUGGUAUUCAAAAUCAUGGAGGUUGCUUGAGGUGCUCAAGUUCGAGUUGCGUCGCCGAGUUCAUUUUGAUCGAAGCUUUGAUUUUUUUUAUCUGUUGGUGUGAUUGCCGAAAUCUCCUUAUUAUUCGGAUUUGCUUCUUCAGGUUCAUCCCCAAUCCCCUCUUUCGUUCUAUUUAUGUCUUUGUAGUAUUUUUGCAGGGAGAUAGUUUUGUCUGCAUAUUUUUCCUUUGAAUCACAUAUUUAAUUGACCUAUAAUGAGUUGAGCAUAGGCAAGAAAAUUUCCUUUUCAAAGAAUGCUAAUUCUGAUCCAUCUCUCCUACUGAAGAUUCUGCUCUUGGUUGCUAAAUACUACAACGAUAUUCAGCAGAAUUCUUAUGGUUCGAAAAUUAAAAUCUCAUUUAGGAUAGCCUAUACAGCCAUAUGUGUUAUAUUUUUUGAUGUCAGUCGAGUUGUUACUGUAGAUCUAUUCUGUGAGCUCAUGUAUGAGAUUUUUGUAUACUUUAACUGUUAUCAUGGCCUUUACUGGAUUAAUCUAUGGAACGUAAUCACGAUUCCAAUGUUAAUGACUUUGCGUUUGUUUCUGUUCAAAUCUGGUUAGUUGUGAUAAGAAGGAUCAAGUUUCCGAUUUCGUAUUAUUGAAGCUUGAAAGCUCGUUUUGCAUUUGUUGAUGAUUUCUACGAGUUUAUUUUCUGUUUGUUAAUCAAGGCUCGACGCUACAUGUGUUGCCAAAGUUUACUCGAUGCAAACAAAUGUGCUAGAAAAACUUUAAAUCUUUUCAUGAAGUUUUUCUUGCUUUUCCUGAGUAGGAUUUACUUCUUUCUAAUAAAAUCAUACAUAUUUUUAUGCAGACACAUGGUGUUAGCUUACAGUAGGUAUUUCAAAGGUGGUGGAAACACCCUGCAAAUGUAUAUCUGAAGCCCUUAUAUCAAGCAUUGCCCUGUGUAGUUGUCUGGGAGCUAUGGAAGAGGAGAAAUAAAAGAAGGUAUGGUGGUAAUAUCUCCUUGAACAGGCUAAUUUCUCAGGUUUCAGCAACUCUGCACAAUUUACUGGUGUACAGGUUUCCUAAGAUGAAAAGAUUGUCUUCUAAUUGGCCUGAAUUGGUUAGUGAGUUGGAGAGCUACAUCCCCAGGCUACAUUAUAGAAGAGUAUGUUGGGAAUUCCCUAGUGGACAAUGGAUUAAAUGUAACACAGAUGGUGCAUCAAGAGGUAAUCCAGGUAAGAGUGGUGCUGCUGUGGUGUUUAGAGAUGCUGCUGGUGAUUUUUUGUGUGCUGCUACCCAAUUUUUGGCUGUUCAAACUAAUAUGUAUUCAGAGAUAAUGGCUAUUCAGUUAGCUGCUGAAAUCAUCUUUCUUUCUAUCCAUAGGUCAGCUUCGCGCAUAUAGAUCAUUGCCGGGGGAGAUUGGUGCCCCUUGAGGUAUACCUUUCCGGUUAUUUUUAUUACAUAUGGUAAUAUUAUAUGCAAUUUUUUUAAAAAUAGGGGUAAAUACAAAGAG